rnacentral:misc_RNA from 1 species
AUGAUUGGAGCAAUGGUCCUCCA